rnacentral:rRNA from 1 species
UUGAAGAGUUUGAUCAUGGCUCAGAUUGAACGCUGGCGGCAGGCCUAACACAUGCAAGUCGAACGGUAACAGGAAGCAGCUUGCUGCUUUGCUGACGAGUGGCGGACGGGUGAGUAAUGUCUGGGAAACUGCCUGAUGGAGGGGGAUAACUACUGGAAACGGUGGCUAAUACCGCAUAACGUCGCAAGACCAAAGAGGGGGACCUUCGGGCCUCUUGCCAUCAGAUGUGCCCAGAUGGGAUUAGCUUGUUGGUGAGGUAACGGCUCACCAAGGCGACGAUCCCUAGCUGGUCUGAGAGGAUGACCAGCCACACUGGAACUGAGACACGGUCCAGACUCCUACGGGAGGCAGCAGUGGGGAAUAUUGCACAAUGGGCGCAAGCCUGAUGCAGCCAUGCCGCGUGUAUGAAGAAGGCCUUCGGGUUGUAAAGUACUUUCAGCGGGGAGGAAGGUGUUGUGGUUAAUAACCGCAGCAAUUGACGUUACCCGCAGAAGAAGCACCGGCUAACUCCGUGCCAGCAGCCGCGGUAAUACGGAGGGUGCAAGCGUUAAUCGGAAUUACUGGGCGUAAAGCGCACGCAGGCGGUCUGUCAAGUCGGAUGUGAAAUCCCCGGGCUCAACCUGGGAACUGCAUUCGAAACUGGCAGGCUUGAGUCUUGUAGAGGGGGGUAGAAUUCCAGGUGUAGCGGUGAAAUGCGUAGAGAUCUGGAGGAAUACCGGUGGCGAAGGCGGCCCCCUGGACAAAGACUGACGCUCAGGUGCGAAAGCGUGGGGAGCAAACAGGAUUAGAUACCCUGGUAGUCCACGCCGUAAACGAUGUCUACUUGGAGGUUGUGCCCUUGAGGCGUGGCUUCCGGAGCUAACGCGUUAAGUAGACCGCCUGGGGAGUACGGCCGCAAGGUUAAAACUCAAAUGAAUUGACGGGGGCCCGCACAAGCGGUGGAGCAUGUGGUUUAAUUCGAUGCAACGCGAAGAACCUUACCUGGUCUUGACAUCCACGGAAGUUUUCAGAGAUGAGAAUGUGCCUUCGGGAACCGUGAGACAGGUGCUGCAUGGCUGUCGUCAGCUCGUGUUGUGAAAUGUUGGGUUAAGUCCCGCAACGAGCGCAACCCUUAUCCUUUGUUGCCAGCGAUUAGGUCGGGAACUCAAAGGAGACUGCCAGUGAUAAACUGGAGGAAGGUGGGGAUGACGUCAAGUCAUCAUGGCCCUUACGACCAGGGCUACACACGUGCUACAAUGGCGCAUACAAAGAGAAGCGACCUCGCGAGAGCAAGCGGACCUCAUAAAGUGCGUCGUAGUCCGGAUUGGAGUCUGCAACUCGACUCCAUGAAGUCGGAAUCGCUAGUAAUCGUGGAUCAGAAUGCCACGGUGAAUACGUUCCCGGGCCUUGUACACACCGCCCGUCACACCAUGGGAGUGGGUUGCAAAAGAAGUAGGUAGCUUAACCUUCGGGAGGGCGCUUACCACUUUGUGAUUCAUGACUGGGGUGAAGUCGUAACAAGGUAACCGUAGGGGAACCUGCGGUUGGAUCACCUCCUU